GACGUAGGGCGCAAGCGUUGUCCGGAUUUAUUGGGCGUAAAGAGCUCGUAGGCGGCUUGUUGCGUCGUCCGUGAAAACCCGUGGCUCAACUGCGGGCUUGCGGACGAUACGGGCAGGCUGGAGUUCGGUAGGGGAGACUGGAAUUCCUGGUGUAGCGGUGGAAUGCGCAGAUAUCAGGAGGAACACCGGUGGCGAAGGCGGGUCUCUGGGCCGAUACUGACGCUGAGGAGCGAAAGCGUGGGGAGCGAACAGG
rnacentral:rRNA from 1 species